UCCAGACUCCUACGGGAGGCAGCAGUGAGGAAUAUUGGUCAAUGGGCGGAAGCCUGAACCAGCCAAGUCGCGUGAGGGAAGAAGGCCCUGCGGGUCGCAGACCUCUUUGGACGGGGAGCAAGGCCGCCGACGUGUCGGCGGAAGGAGAGUACCCGUAGAACAAGCAUCGGCUAACUACGUGCCAGCAGCCGCGGUAAUACGUAGGGAGCGAGCGUUGUCCGGAAUUACUGGGUGUAAAGGGAGCGUAGGCGGGGAUGCAAGUUGGAUGUUUAAACUAUCGGCUCAACCGGUAAUUGCAACCAAAACUGCAACUCUUGAGUGAAGUAGAGGCAGGCGGAAUUCCUAGUGUAGCGGUGAAAUGCGUAGAUAUUAGGAGGAACACCAGUGGCGAAGGCGGCCUGCUGGGCUUUAACUGACGCUGAGGCUCGAAAGCGUGGGUAGCAAACAGGAUUAGAUACCCGCGUAU
rnacentral:rRNA from 1 species